rnacentral:tRNA from 1 species
GCGUCUGUAGCUCAACAGGAUAGAGCAUCCGGCUUCUACCCGGAUGGCUGAGGGUUCGAGUCCUUCCAGGCGCG